rnacentral:rRNA from 1 species
GACGAACGCUGGCGGCGUGCUUAACACAUGCAAGUCGAACGGGAAGGCCCUGCUUUUGUGGGGUGCUCGAGUGGCGAACGGGUGAGUAACACGUGAGUAACCUGCCCUUGACUUUGGGAUAACUUCAGGAAACUGGGGCUAAUACCGGAUAGGAGCUCCUGCUGCAUGGUGGGGGUUGGAAAGUUUCGGCGGUUGGGGAUGGACUCGCGGCUUAUCAGCUUGUUGGUGGGGUAGUGGCUUACCAAGGCUUUGACGGGUAGCCGGCCUGAGAGGGUGACCGGCCACAUUGGGACUGAGAUACGGCCCAGACUCCUACGGGAGGCAGCAGUGGGGAAUAUUGCACAAUGGGCGGAAGCCUGAUGCAGCAACGCCGCGUGCGGGAUGACGGCCUUCGGGUUGUAAACCGCUUUCGCCUGUGACGAAGCGUGAGUGACGGGAAUGGGUAAAGAAGCACCGGCUAACUACGU